GGAGGCAGCAGCGGUAGAGGCGGCGGCGAGGACUGGCGGCAGCGAGGAGCUGCCUUCUAGUCUCACCUGUGGACACUUUGCCAAAGGAGUCGGGCCUGACGGUAGAAGAUGGGAAAUGGCCAAAAGAAUAAACCAUUUCCUCUUACUUACCGAAUGAAAAGCUUGCCUCAUCUUGGCGUUCAAGACUCUCUAAUAUGAUUCCACCUGUUGGGCUCUUUCUUCCAUUUGCCUCCGCAGAUAGUGUCUGCCUUCUGGAGAGCUCACCAAACACUAAGGAUGCUGAAGUUCCGAACAGUCCAUGGGGGCCUGAGGCUCCUGGGAAUCCGCCGAACCUCCACCGCCCCCGCUGCCUCCCCAAAUGUCCGGCGCCUGGAGUAUAAGCCCAUCAAGAAAGUCAUGGUGGCCAACAGAGGUGAGAUUGCCAUCCGUGUGUUCCGGGCCUGCACGGAGCUGGGCAUCCGCACCGUAGCCAUCUACUCUGAGCAGGACACGGGCCAGAUGCACCGGCAGAAAGCAGAUGAAGCCUAUCUCAUCGGCCGCGGCCUGGCCCCCGUGCAGGCCUACCUGCACAUCCCAGACAUCAUCAAGGUGGCCAAGGAGAACAACGUAGAUGCAGUGCACCCUGGCUACGGGUUCCUCUCUGAGCGAGCAGACUUCGCCCAGGCCUGCCAGGAUGCAGGGGUCCGGUUUAUUGGGCCAAGCCCAG
rnacentral:sRNA from 1 species